UGAACUUGAUCGAAGAUGGAGCUCAAAC
rnacentral:piRNA from 1 species